UCAAGAUGAUAAGUUUGACAAAGAAAUUUUUUUUUAAAGGCUCAAAAGGGUUAACUAUGAAUUUUUCACAAAAGGGAUGGUUAGAAAUGCUCAAGCGAAUCAAAGAUGGCAUUUCCAUCAUCUUUUAGGGCUCUAAAUAAUAUUCUAUAUCUACUAGUUAGAUGGGCAUCCAGAUGUAGCAACACACAUUUUUUUCUUUUUAUUUUAUUUUUUUAUCUUACAAUUUUUUAUUUUAUUUUAUUUUUUAGAGGGUUGACUCAAAAG
rnacentral:lncRNA from 1 species